rnacentral:rRNA from 1 species
UAAGGAAUAUUGGACAAUGGUCGCAAGACUGAUCCAGCCAUGCCGCGUGCAGGAUGACUGCCCUAUGGGUUGUAAACUGCUUUUGUACGGGAAUAAACCCUUCUACGUGUAGGAGGCUGAAUGUACCGUAAGAAUAAGGGUCGGCUAACUUCGUGCCAGCAGCCGCGGUAAGACGAAGGACCCAAGCGUUAUCCGGAUUCAUUGGGUUUAAAGGGUGCGUAGGCGGAUUGAUAAGUCAGUGGUGAAAGCCUGUUGCUUAACAACAGAACUGCCAUUGAUACUGUUGAUCUUGAAUAUGUUUGAUGUGGGCGGAAUAUGACAUGUAGCGGUGAAAUGCUUAGAUAUGUCAUAGAACACCGAUUGCGAAGGCAGCUCACAAAGCCAUUAUUGACGCUGAGGCACGAAAGCGUGGGGAUCAAACAGGAUUAGAUACCCGCGUAGUCC